UGUCAAAGGUACAUCUUUGACGUUUAUAACAAACCAAUCCGUUUGAAAAUCGGUAAAAAAUUAAGCAAGUUAUGGUCAUUUAAAAGUACCUGCAUCAUUAAAACUCAAUGCUACGAGUGAGCGAGCGCCCUGUCCUAAGAUGGCCGCCAAAAUGCGGACGUUCCACUCAAUUGGCCAUCAGCGCGGACGAGCCAUCUAGCCUUUAUAUACAUAUCUAUGGUUGUAGCUGCAUGAAGUCUGCUGCAAUUUCUCUGAGAUUUCUCAAGAUCAUCAGUUUGGACAGAAUUCAUUUGAAGAAUUAAUAGCACUAGCAGGUUCCAAUAAAGGCUGGAACAGAACAGACAGAAAAGAAUCUGUCAGAAGAAAUUCAACUACUGUUCGUGCACCAGAUGGUGAAGUAGAAAAGUUCGUAAAAACUUCUGCAGCUUGCAUCUGACAGAGAUGCAAAAAGAAUAAGAGAGCGGGCCUGAAAACAAGCAAAU